rnacentral:rRNA from 1 species
UGAUCCUGGCUCAGAUUGAACGCUGGCGGCAGGCUUAACACAUGCAAGUCGAGCGGAGAGAGGUAGCUUGCUACUGAUCUUAGCGGCGGACGGGUGAGUGAUACUUAGGAAUCUGGCUAUUAGUGGGGGACAACAUUUCGAAAGGGAUGCUAAUACCGCAUACGUCCUACGGGAGAAAGCAGGGGAUCUUCGGACCUUGCGCUAAUAGAUGAGCCUAAGUCGGAUUAGCUAGUUGGUGGGGUAAAGGCCUACCAAGGCGACGAUCUGUAGCGGGUCUGAGAGGAUGAUCCGCCACACUGGGACUGAGACACGGCCCAGACUCCUACGGGAGGCAGCAGUGGGGAAUAUUGGACAAUGGGGGGAACCCUGAUCCAGCCAUGCCGCGUGUGUGAAGAAGGCCUUAUGGUUGUAAAGCACUUUAAGCGAGGAGGAGGGUACUGGUAUUAAUACUACCAGGUACUGGACGUUACUCGCAGAAUAAGCACCGGCUAACUCUGUGCCAGCAGCCGCGGUAAUACAGAGGGUGCGAGCGUUAAUCGGAUUUACUGGGCGUAAAGCGUGCGUAGGCGGCUAAUUGAGUCGGAUGUGA